AGAGUUCAUCUGUGGGGACACCAUCUAGAGAGUGACUUUUCCAAAGGUAAGUCUCACCCCUUACAUGCUGGAUGGGUUGUCUGUGCGAUUUUCCCAAACGUGGGAAAAUUAACUGCAACAUCUGUGGUAGUAGGGAACUGUGUUUGUGCUUCACCCUG
rnacentral:snRNA from 12 species